AGAGUGUGUAGAGUGUAGUGUAGACUGUGUAGUGUGUUGACUGUAGUGCGUAGAGUGUAGUGUGCAGAGUGUGUAGUGUAGACUGUGUAGAGUGUAGACUGUGUAGACUGUGUAGUGUAGACUGUGUAGUGUAGACUGUAGUGUAGACUGUGUAGUGUGUAGACUGUGUAGUGUGUAGACUGUGUAGUGUGCAGAGUGUGUAGUGUAGACUGUGUAGUGUGUACUGUGUAGUGUGUAGACUGUGUAGUGUGUAGACUGUGCAGUGUGUAGACUGUGCAGUGUGUAGACUGUGCAGUGUGUAGACUGUGUAGUGUGUAGUGUGUGUAGAGUGUGUAGACUGUAGUGCGUAAAGUGUAGUGUGCAGAGUGUGUAGUGUAGACUGUGUAGAGUGUGCAGUGUUCUGUGUAGAGUGUAGACUGUGCAGUGUGUAGACUGUGUAGUGUACUGUGUAGAGUGUAGAGUAUGUAGUGUAGACUGUGUAGAGUGUAGACUAUGUAGUGUAGACUGCGUAGUGUAGACUGUGUAGUGUGUAGACUAUGUAGUGUAGACUGUGUAAUGUGUAGACUGUGUAGUGUGUAGACUGCGUAGUGUAGAAUGUGUAGUGUGUAGACUACGAGUGUAGACUGUGUAGUGUGUAGACUCUGGACUGUGUAGUGUGUAGACUGUGUAGAGUGUAGACUGUGUAGUGUGUAGACUGUGUAGUGUGUAGACUGUGUAGUGUGUAGACUGUGUAGUGUGUAGACUACGUAGUGUGUAGACUGCGUAGUGUAGAAUGUGUAGUGUGUAGACUACGUAGUGUAGACUAUGUAGUGUAGACUGUGUAGUGUGUAGACUGUAGACUGUGUAGUGUAGACUGUGUAGUGUGUAGACUGUGUCGAGUGUAGACUGUGUAGUGUGUAGACUGUGUAGAGUGUAGACUGUAGGGUGUGUAGACUGUAGGGUGUGUAGACUGUAGGGUGUGUAGACUGUGUAGUGUGUAGACUGUGUAGUGUGUAGACUGUGUAGUGUGUAGACUGUGUAGUGUGUAGACUGUGUAGUGUGUAGACUGUGUAGAGUGUAGACUGUGUAGUGUGUAGACUGUGUAGUGUAGAAUGUGUAGUGUAGAAUGUGUAGUGUGUAGACUACGUAGUGUAGACUAUGUAGUGUAGACUGUGUAGUGUGUAGACUGUAGACUGUGUAGUGUAGACUGUGUAGAGUGUAGACUGUGUAGUGUGCAGACUGUAGGGUGUGUAGACUGUAGGGUGUGUAGACUGUGUAGUGUGUAGACUGUGUAGUGUGUAGACUGUGUAGAGUGUAGACUAUGUAGUGUAGACUGUGUAGUGUAUAGUGUAGACUGUGUAGUGUGUAGACUGUGUAGAGUGUAGACUGUGUAGAGUGUAGACUGUGUAGAGUGUAGACUGUGUAGUGUGUAGACUGUGUAGAGUGUAGACUGUGUAGUGUGUAGACUGUGUAGUGUGUAGACUGUGGUGUGUAGACUGUGUAGUGUGUAGACUGUGUAGUGUGUAGACUGUGUAGUGUGUAGACUGUGUAGUGUGUAGACUGUGUAGUGUGUAGACUGUGUAGUGUGUAGACUGUGUAGAGUGUAGACUGUGUAGUGUGUAGACUGUGUAGUGUGUAGACUGUGUAGUGUGUAGACUGUGUAGUGUGUAGACUGUGUAGUGUGUAGACUGUGU
ensembl:lncRNA